UUCGACGAGCUGGACGGACUGGAGUGAUGAAUGUCUAGGCAGCCUGCCUGAGGGAGGGGGAUAACUACUGGAAACGGUAACUAAUACCACAUCCUAUCGCAGAACCCAGGAGGGGGACCUUCCUUGCUCUUGCCAUCGAAUGUGCCCAGAUGGGAUUAGCUGGUGGUGGGGUAACGGCUCACCUAACCAACCAUCCCUGGCUGGUCUGAAAGGAUGACCACCCUGACUGGAACUGACACACGGUCCUCACUCCUACAGGAGGCAUGGGUGGGGAAUAUUGCACAAUGGGCGCAAGCCUGAUGCAUGCAUGCCGUGUGAUGAAGUCUUCUUCUGGUUGUAACUUACUUUUGCGGGAAGGAAGGCAAUAAGGUUCCUAACCUUGUUUGAUUGACGUUACCCGCUAAACAAGCACCGGCUAACUCCGUGCCAGCAGCCGCGGUAAUAAGGAGGGUGCAAGCGUUAAUAAUUAAUUACUGGGCGUAAAGCGCACGCUGGUUUGCUGUCAAGUAUGAUGUGAAAUCCCCGGGCUUCACGCUUGGGAACUGCUUUAGAAACUGCCAGGCUGCUGGAGUCUGGUAGAGGGGGGUAGAAUUCCAGGUGUAGCGGUGAAAUGCGUAGAGAUGUGAGAGGACUACAGGUGGGGAAGGCGGCCUCCUGUGGACAAAGACUGCCGCUCAGGUGCGAAAGCGUGGGGAGCAACCAGGAUAUAGAUACGCUUGGUAGUCCACGCGGUAAGAGGAGGUAGACUUGGAGGUUGUUCCCUUGAGGAGUGGCUUCGGGAGCUAACGCGUUAAGUGGCGACCCCCUGGGGAGUACGGCCGCAAGGUUAAAAUUCAAAUGAAUUGACGGGGGCCCGCCCAAGCGGUGGAGCAUGUGGUUUAAUCCGAUGCAACGGGAAGACCCUUACAUACUCUUGACAUCCAGAGAAUUUAGCAGAGAUGAUUUGGUCCUUUCGGGAAUUUUGAGACAGGUGCGGCAGGGCGUUGUUCAGUUCGUUUUGUGAAAUGUUGGGUUAAUUCCCGCAACGAGCCCAACCUUUUUCUUUUGUUGCCACCGGUUCGGUCGGGCACUCAAAGGAGACUGCCAGUGAUAAACCGGAGGAAGGUGGGGAUGACGUCAAGUCAUCAUGGCCCUUACGAGUAGGGCUACACACGUGCUACAAUGGCAUAUACAAAGAGAAGCCACCUCGCGAGAGCAAGCGGACCUCAUAAAGUAUGUCGUAGUCCGGAUUGGAGUCUGCAACUCGACUCCAUGAAGUCGGAAUCGCUAGUAAUCGUGGAUCAGAAUGCCACGGUGAAUACGUUCCCGGGCCUUGUACACACCGCCCGUCACACCAUG
rnacentral:rRNA from 1 species